rnacentral:rRNA from 1 species
CAGUAGCCACGGUAAUACGAGGGGGGCAAGCGUUGUUCGGAAUUACUGGGCGUAAAGCGCACGUAGGCGGACAUUUAAGUCAGGGGUGAAAUCCCGGGGCUCAACCCCGGAACUGCCUUUGAUACUGGGUGUCUUGAGUGUGGAAGAGGUCAGUGGAAUUGCGAGUGUAGAGGUGAAAUUCGUAGAUAUUCGCAGGAACACCAGUGGCGAAGGCGGCUGACUGGUCCACAACUGACGCUGAGGUGCGAAAGCGUGGGGAGCAAACAGGAUUAGAUACCCCUGUAGUCCCUGUCUCUUAUAA